UACAGAAAAUCCCUGGUUACCUGUAGUCUCGGUCUGAGCAACAUAAGCAUUUUUUGGUGGUCAACCAUGUAAAGAAUGGCAUACGUCACGAGUGUGACCAAGUUUAUAACAAUAAGAAUUCGUGGGUCUAGAUCUUCCAAAACGACCUCCUCCUCGUCUAUACUCCAUAGCAUGAGAAACCCGAUUGUCCACGGAUUAGGAUACGAGGAUAGAUGAAUCAAGUGUCUGUGAUGAGCUUACUGGGUGACUUGGUGCUGCAACAAGGCGAAGUAAGCGAGAGAAUAAUUCAUCAACUGUGGGG
rnacentral:lncRNA from 1 species